rnacentral:rRNA from 1 species
GAUGAACGCUGGCGGCGUGCCUAAUACAUGCAAGUCGAGCGAACGGACGAGAAGCUUGCUUCUCUGAUGUUAGCGGCGGACGGGUGAGUAACACGUGGAUAACCUACCUAUAAGACUGGGAUAACUUCGGGAAACCGGAGCUAAUACCGGAUAAUAUUUUGAACCGCAUGGUUCAAAAGUGAAAGACGGUCUUGCUGUCACUUAUAGAUGGAUCCGCGCUGCAUUAGCUAGUUGGUAAGGUAACGGCUUACCAAGGCAACGAUGCAUAGCCGACCUGAGAGGGUGAUCGGCCACACUGGAACUGAGACACGGUCCAGACUCCUACGGGAGGCAGCAGUAGGGAAUCUUCCGCAAUGGGCGAAAGCCUGACGGAGCAACGCCGCGUGAGUGAUGAAGGUCUUCGGAUCGUAAAACUCUGUUAUUAGGGAAGAACAUAUGUGUAAGUAACUGUGCACAUCUUGACGGUACCUAAUCAGAAAGCCACGGCUAACUACGUGCCAGCAGCCGCGGUAAUACGUAGGUGGCAAGCCGUAUCCGGAAUUAUUGGGCGUAAAGCGCGCGUAGGCGGUUUUUUAAGUCUGAUGUGAAAGCCCACGGCUCAACCCGUGGAGGGUCAUUGGAAACUGGAAAACUUGAGUGCAGAAGAGGAAAGUGGAAUUCCAUGUGUAGCGGUGAAAUGCGCAGAGAUAUGGAGGAACACCAGUGGCGAAGGCGACUUUCUGGUCUGUAACUGACGCUGAUGUGCGAAAGCGUGGGGAUCAAACAGGAUUAGAUACCCUGGUAGUCCACGCCGUAAACGAUGAGUGCUAAGUGUUAGGGGGUUUCCGCCCCUUAGUGCUGCAGCUAACGCAUUAAGCACUCCGCCUGGGGAGUACGACCGCAAGGUUGAAACUCAAAGGAAUUGACGGGGACCCGCACAAGCGGUGGAGCAUGUGGUUUAAUUCGAAGCAACGCGAAGAACCUUACCAAAUCUUGACAUCCUUUGACAACUCUAGAGAUAGAGCCUUCCCCUUCGGGGGACAAAGUGACAGGUGGUGCAUGGUUGUCGUCAGCUCGUGUCGUGAGAUGUUGGGUUAAGUCCCGCAACGAGCGCAACCCUUAAGCUUAGUUGCCAUCAUUAAGUUGGGCACUCUAAGUUGACUGCCGGUGACAAACCGGAGGAAGGUGGGGAUGACGUCAAAUCAUCAUGCCCCUUAUGAUUUGGGCUACACACGUGCUACAAUGGACAAUACAAAGGGCAGCGAAACCGCGAGGUCAAGCAAAUCCCAUAAAGUUGUUCUCAGUUCGGAUUGUAGUCUGCAACUCGACUACAUGAAGCUGGAAUCGCUAGUAAUCGUAGAUCAGCAUGCUACGGUGAAUACGUUCCCGGGUCU